UACGUAGGGUGCAAGCGUUAAUCGGAAUUACUGGGCGUAAAGCGUGUGUAGGCGGUCCACUAAGUCGGGUGUGAAAGCCCUGGGCUCAACCCAGGAAGUGCACUCGAAACUGGCGGGCUAGAGUAUCGGAGAGGUUGGUGGAAUUCUCGGUGUAGAGGUGAAAUUCGUAGAUAUCAAGCGGAACACCGGUGGCGAAGGCAGCCUUCUGGACAGUGACUGACGCUGAGACGCGAAAGCGUGGGGAGCAAACAGG
rnacentral:rRNA from 1 species